rnacentral:rRNA from 1 species
UACAGAGGGUGCGAGCGUUGUUCGGAAUUACUGGGCGUAAAGCGCGCGCAGGCGGCCUUUUAAGUCCAUCGGUGAAAUGCCGGGGCUCAACCCCGGGCAUGCCGAGGAUACUGGGUGGCUGGAGACACGUAGAGGCAAGCGGAAUUCCGGGUGUAGCGGUGGAAUGCGUAGAGAUCCGGAAGAACACCGGAGGCGAAGGCGGCUUGCUGGGCGUGAUCUGACGCUGAGGCGCGAAAGCGUGGGGAGCGAACAGG